rnacentral:rRNA from 1 species
UACGUAGGGUGCAAGCGUUGUCCGGAAUUAUUGGGCGUAAAGAGCGCGUAGGCGGUCUGUCGCGUCUGCUGUGAAAACUCGGGGCUUAACCCCGGGCCUGCAGUGGGUACGGGCAGACUAGAGUGCGGUAGGGGAGACUGGAAUUCCUGGUGUAGCGGUGAAAUGCGCAGAUAUCAGGAGGAACACCGGUGGCGAAGGCGGCGUCCUGGACCGGCAUUGACGCUGAUGCGCGAAAGCCAGGGGAGCAAACGGG